rnacentral:lncRNA from 12 species
CUUUCUAGUUUUUUUUUUAUGGUUUCUAUUUUCCCUGGCAGAGGAUGGUGGGCGCAAAUCUGAUCCAUGUGUGAGCCAGCUGAACUCAGGAGCGUUCCCAGGGAAGUGACGUUCCACAGCCGCCCCCGACCCUGGCCUUGAGAAGCCCUGCUUGACACACUCAACUGGGGACAACAGAGCAAAUUCCAAGACAAAGUUUCAAGCUUGAUGACUCAGAGGCCUACAGAGGACAUUUACGGGUAAGAGCUUGCUUCAUCUCUGCUACCAGGACCAGCCUGGGGACACAUGACAUGGCAAGUGUACAGCGGGAGGCAGCCUGGCAGGGGGCAGGCAGGGGCCGGUGCUUGAGAGCUCAGGGGUGUGGCCUUGGUCUGGGGUGGGGUGGAGGUGACAGGAGCCUGGAGCAUGUGCUGACACAUGUUCUGGCCUCCAUCUUCACCCCGAGGCUGGGGAGCAGUGGGUCCCUUGCUCCCCUCAGGUGGCCAGCGGGGCAGAGCUGGGACUGCACCCCACGCACCUGCUCUUGACAGUCCCACGGCCCUUUUAGGCACGAAUAAGGCGAGCCAGUGAGAAGCGAAGGAAAAGCCUUGCACAGAAGAGGCGGGCACCAUACCGUAUUACUGAUUGAUCCUGAGAUCCUCCUACUACCUGAUAUACGUGCCCCCGGUCCAUGCGGUGGCUGGAGCUACUGGAAACGGUCUCUCAAAAUCUCUGGUAAGAGGAACGAGAGAAGUGGCAGUUUGUCCUUAUUGGGAUCUGAGCCGCUGGGGAAGCAUUGUCUCCCGGGAGUGAGGCAAUGUCCAUGGCAGAAAACAGGAGAAGAAACUGUAGGGGAGGGACCUCGCCCCAGACACUACUGCCUCUUGCCUCCCGUGGGCCACUGUUCCCCUGGCACAUCCCUGCACACUGUGCUGCGGGGUGAAGGGACAUACCUCUCUCCCCAGGUGGCCAAACAUGUGCAGGGUGGGCAAGAACCCCAGAACUUGUAUGGGAAUCACUGUGUGAGUGCUGAGUCCCCCUCCUGUGAAUCAUACACACAAUUAAAUAAAAUUCAAAAGGAAUCUCAUCCCUCCCUGCUCCCUCUCUGCGCCCUCCCAGACCUGCCCCUGUGUGUGGGGACCUGGGGGAGGGGGCCUUACAGGAGACUCCUGGCCCCAGCAGGGCAGCUGGCCUGCCGAGGAGUGGGGGACAGUUCUGUACCUGCCUGGCAGUGGAGAGAGCUCCCCCGUAUUGUGCCUCCCCCCCCCCCACCACACACACACCGGGAACGGCACUGGGACCAUGGACCUGGGAAAUUGGUUGACUUCCGAAGGAAAGC